CACGUAGGGUGCGAGCGUUUGUCCGGAAUUAUUGGGCGUAAAGAGCUCGUAGGCGGUGUGUCGCGUCGGCCGUGAAAACCUGCAGCUUAACUGUGGGCUUGCGGUCGAUACGGGCAUCACUGGAGUUCGGCAGGGAGACUGGAAUUCCCGGUGUAGAGGUGAAAUUCGUAGAUAUCGGGAGGAACACCAGUGGCGAAGGCGGCGAUCUGGACCGAUACUGACGCUGAGGUGCGAAAGCGUGGGGAUCAAACAGG
rnacentral:rRNA from 1 species